GACGAACGCUGGCGGCGUGCCUAAUACAUGCAAGUCGAGCGGACAGAAGGGAGCUUGCUCCCGGAAGUUAGCGGCGGACGGGUGAGUAACACGUGGGCAACCUACCCUGUAGAUCGGGAUAACAUCGAGAAAUCGGUGCUAAUACCGGAUAAUCAUUUGAAGUGCAUGCUUCGAAUGUAAAAGAUGGCUCCGGCUAUCACUACGGGAUGGGCCCGCGGCGCAUUAGCUGGUUGGUAAGGUAAUGGCUUACCAAGGCAACGAUGCGUAGCCGACCUGAGAGGGUGAUCGGCCACACUGGGACUGAGACACGGCCCAGACUCCUACGGGAGGCAGCAGUAGGGAAUCUUCCGCAAUGGACGAAAGUCUGACGGAGCAACGCCGCGUGAGUGAUGAAGGUUUUCGGAUCGUAAAGCUCUGUUGUUAGGGAAGAACAAGUGCCGUUUGAAUAAGGCGGCACCUUGACGGUACCUAACCAGAAAGCCACGGCUAACUACGUGCCAGCCGCCGCCGUAA
rnacentral:rRNA from 1 species